AGGUAACUAAAUGACCAUGGAAUCUGGAGCAGAGAACCAGCAGAGUGGAGAUGCAGCUGUAACAGAAGCUGAAAACCAACAAAUGACAGUUCAAGCCCAGCCACAGAUUGCCACAUUAGCCCAGGUAUCAAUGCCAGCAGCUCAUGCAACAUCAUCUGCUCCCACUGUAACUUUAGUACAGCUGCCCAAUGGGCAGACAGUUCAAGUCCAUGGAGUUAUUCAGGCGGCCCAGCCAUCAGUUAUUCAGUCUCCACAAGUCCAGACAGUUCAGAUUUCAACUAUUGCAGAAAGCGAAGAUUCACAGGAAUCAGUGGAUAGUGUAACUGAUUCUCAAAAACGAAGGGAAAUUCUUUCAAGGAGGCCUUCCUACAGGAAAAUUUUGAAUGACCUAUCUUCUGAUGCACCAGGAGUACCAAGGAUUGAAGAAGAAAAGUCUGAAGAGGAGACUUCAGCCCCUGCCAUCACCACUGUAACGGUGCCAACUCCAAUUUACCAAACUAGCAGUGGACAGUAUAUUGCCAUUACCCAGGGAGGAGCAAUACAACUGGCUAACAAUGGUACCGAUGGGGUACAGGGUCUGCAAACACUAACCAUGACGAAUGCAGCCGCCACUCAGCCGGGUACAACCAUUCUACAAUAUGCACAGACCACUGAUGGACAGCAGAUUUUGGUGCCCAGCAACCAAGUUGUUGUUCAGGCUGCCUCCGGAGAUGUACAGACAUACCAGAUUCGCACAGCACCAACUAGUACCAUUGCACCUGGAGUUGUUAUGGCAUCUUCCCCAGCACUUCCUACACAGCCCGCUGAAGAAGCAGCACGAAAGAGAGAGGUUCGUCUAAUGAAGAACAGGGAAGCAGCACGAGAGUGUCGUAGAAAGAAGAAAGAAUAUGUGAAAUGUUUAGAAAACAGAGUAGCAGUGCUUGAAAACCAAAACAAGACACUGAUUGAGGAGCUAAAAGCACUUAAGGACCUUUACUGCCACAAAUCAGAUUAAUUUGGGAUUUAAAUUUUCACCUGUUCAGGUGGCAAGUGGACUGGAUUGGCCACAACCAGAAAGACAAAAUAAACAUUUUAUUUUCUAAACAUUUCUUUUUUUUCUAUGCGCAAAACUGCCUGAAGCAACUACAGAAUUUCCUUCAUUUGUGCUUUUGCAUUAAACUGUGAAUGUUUCAACACCUGCCUCCACUUCUCCCCUCAAGAAAUUUUCAGCACCAGGAAUCAUGAAAAGACUUCUGCUUUCCAAUGCCCACCCUCCUCAAGAAGUAAUAAUUUGUUUACUUGUAAAUUGUUGGGGGAAAUGAUGAAAAUGAAAUCUUUUUUAAAAAAUGAUUUCAAGGUUUGUGCUGAGCUCCUUGAUUGCCUUAGGGACAGAGUUACCCCAGCCUCUUGAGCUGAAGUAAUGUGUGGCCGCAUGCAUAAAGAUGAACAGAGUUUAUGAAGGAGCAUCAUUCUAAGAAUUGAGUGAUGUAGUCUUUAUAUUUGGACAGUUCACCAGAUUCUCAAGAAGGCUUUCAAACAACUGUAAAGUUUGAUGUUUGUCCUGCUGAGCAAGUGGAGAAAGUGAUAGCAUAAGUAUUGCUUGUUACCAGGAUAGCUAUGUCAUUUCUAAACUUGGUUCUACACAAACCAAGUAAAAGGAUAUCUGUUUCACAAUCUGGACUUAUUUUACAUUGAAUCAAAAUGUCAGCUGUCAAUGUUUUAAGUGAAAAAUUGCUUGUAUAUAGCAAUUUAUGAUCUCUAAAGCUAUGUUGUUGUUGUGGGGGGUUUUUUUCCCAAAAGUUGAGGCUUUCUACUUAAUUAGGAAGGUUGUAUCUUUUAGUCCCUGAUAAAUCAAGGCAAUCACAUUUCUAUUAGCUGAAUGGAUUUCUAAGUUACAAAGACUUGGUCCUUUAUACCUUCAGGAUGACUGCACUGGUUUGAAGUCAGUUAUUUAACAGUAAGGUAACAAAUGUAUGAUGUUGCUAAAUCUGCAUUAGGCCUUUGGAGAGACUUGAAGAUUUCAGUUUAUACAGAUAGAAAUCAAGCAGCAUUUGUCCAGGUUUUUUGUGGGGUUUUUUUUUAAUGUGAGAGAUAGAAGAAAUAUGUUUGUUUUUAAGCUUAUUACUUGGAGAAUCUUUAUUUUUAAAAUGACAUUUUAAAUCUUGCAGCCAAGAAAUUAUGGCCACAUUGUAAGUAAGGUUUUCUCUUCCUAUUGGCCAAAAGGGAAUAAAAAUGUCAUCAUAGGAAUCUGUAUAUAUGCUACUGAUUUGCCUAGAAAAUAAUAAGUUUGAUAUUGCUCAUUUUGCAAAUAUAGGGCCAUGUGGCACUUUUAUCUAUAGGACAGAUUAACUAAUAAAAAUGAAGUGGGGAGGGGUUUAUUUUUGAUAUAUUUCUCUGAGUUGUCAAGCUCUGAUAGUGUUUAACUGAAAAGUGGCUUAGAAAGGGCUAGGUUCAAUGUGUUCACAUUAUUAAAAAUUUGAUGAGAUAUAAGUUCAUUCUUUUUCAAACUCAAGUACCAUAUUGGCAACUGUAAUUUUGUCAUAGGUGCUGUUUGUUUAGAUUCUCUUGGGAGUGGGGUUGGGGAAAUGGCAUUUGUAUAAUAUAUGUGUACAUAUAUACAUACAUACAGUAUAUAAUCUAAAGCUCUGAGAGCUCCUAAGUCAGGAAUGCUGAGUAUUAUAGUAUAUUGAGGUCAGAUGAAAUUUUACAUUUUUGUGUGUUCUAUUGCAUCCCUUCUGCUAGUUUCAAUGACUGCAUUUCUCCAUCACUCAUGAUUGACUUAUAGCUCUAAAUUUUUCCAAGCAUUUUUAUUAGUUUACUUGGAUGCUUUUAAAUACUUUACUAGUCAUUUGAAAACUUCCCCACUCCCACCAAAAACAAAAUAUUUGGGUUUUCUGCUUUGUCUCUGGCAGCUACAAUACUGGUAAGAACAUUUUGAAGAGAGCUUUUUAAAAGAACCACUGAUUUUUCAAAAAUCAUCCAGGGGAGGAACUUUUGGUGUUUGAUUUGCGCAGGGAUUUAUCAGGCAAUGUGUUUUGAGGUAGGCCCGCAGCAGUGCUAGUGUCCAGAAGCACAAUACCAGUCAGGCAGGCUUUCCAAUCAAUAGUCAUCUGGCUGAAGUUUUAUCUCUGCCUCUCAGGACUGCUCCCUACUAUCUUCUUGACCAUUUGGGUGGAAUCAUACAAAGGCUUAGAGCUUGGAAACAAGUUUGUAUAAACCAGAAUGCUUUUACUUACUUGUAGUGACUUCAGUCUAGAUGUAUUCUUUUUGACUUAAUUUUUAAUUGAGUGUUCAGUUACAGUCAUCUAUUAACAUAAAUUGGUUGCUUACCAAAGACUGCUUCAUUUUGCAGGAAUAAAGGCUAAUGUAAUUAGAAACAGUGGUUACAUGCCUUUUCAAUAAUUUCGAGGAGUUUAUUUUGUUGCAUUUGUAAUGCUGAAAACUGUUGGUAUAUUAUUUCCUGUUACCUAAUACAAAAGUUGUAUAUUUAUUUGGAUUUUAUUUACAUGAAUAUUUGUAAAUGUUUGGUGUAACUUGCACUUUUAAAAAUGACCUAGUGUGGGUCUUAGCAACUUAUCAAGUCCCCUAACCAAUUCAUUGACUUUUUGGUCUUUUUUUUUUUUUCUCUUCAGAUAUGACUUUUUUUAAUAGAAGCUUUUUGUUGAUUUAUAUAUAUUAGCACCUAAAAGCUAGCCUUUAAACUGUUGAUAGGAUUGUUGGUUUAUGCCCGUAUUCUUAUCUGCUUGGGGGACUGAAUGCUUACACCUCAAAGCCAACCCACCCAGGCAGGAUAGUUCCUGAGAACCCUUAUCAAUCAAUAGCUAGGCGUGAUGACAAAUGCAGGAUCAGUCCAGGUAUGCAACCAGGCAGGAAGCAAAAUAACCAGCAUAUAAAUGGAGCUGAAGGUCUGGCUCAAUGAUAAAGCGCCUGAUAGCAAACUCAAUGUCAAGUUCAAACCCCAGAACAUCCCCUCUUCUACCCUAUCCCCUUUUCAAAAAGCUUUUAAAAAAAAAAAUCUAGAUAAUAGAUUUGACUAGCCCAGAUAAUCAGAAGAUGGACUCAAACUUUUAUCAUGAAUAAUGAUUCAACAAAAAAGUAACUCAAAGUAUCAAUCCUUAUUUCAAAUGAAACUUUAUCCUCACCACAGUAAUAGUAUUCCAAAUAAUUACUAAUUUUUCCACAGUAGUAAGAUUUUAAAAGCAUAUAGCUAUUAUCAUCAUGGGAGACUACAUAUAAUAAUCGUUUUUUACUAAAUUCAUUUUAUAUUGGCUUUAUUACAUCAAAGCGAUGAAGUUUGGUUAUAGAUGAGGACAUAUGCUUUAGAAAGCCUAUAAGUGAAGAAUUGUGAUAUGUUUAUUCACUCAGUAGCUGUACAAAGCACAACCAGAACUUUUUGUUGGACGGCUCACAUCUUGAUUACUUUUAUUGUUAAUAAUGUUGACUUCUUUUUUAAGUUGACUACAUAAGUCACUGUAUGUACUAGGAACUGGUUUUCCUGACUUUCUAGAACCAAUGGCUAAGAAAAGGCAAAUCCUUGAGGGGUUGAACCUAUCAGGAAAUUGAGUCAGUAUGGAAGAAUUUCAAACAAAUCAAACAGGGUGCUGAAGUUCCAUCUGUCUCAUCUCCUAUGAUAUGUUCUUAUUGAUGAGUGAAUGUAGCUUAAGCCUUUGUAUGCAUCCUCAGGGGGCAAACUUCAAAGAGGGACCAGAUAACAUUCUAACGGAGGAAUUAUAUUUCAGGUGUUUUAGCUUGAAACUUAUUUUUUAAAAAAAGAAAAAUUAAAAAAAAAAUAGAACAAAGCCUGUAAAGCAAGUUGACAAUUAAAAAAAAAAAAAAAAAAAAAACAGGCAGAGUUGUUUAGCACAGAGAGGAAAAUAAUGACCGGUCCACAUUCUGGCACUGUGGGUGCAGGUCCCAGCUAAGUAAAACAUGCAUUUUAAAUUAUUCUCACCAGCAAGUAAAAGGAAACGAACAAUCUACAAGAAAUGGCUUGAGAAAGGUCAAGCAAAUUAAAAUUUUACCUACUUUCCAGGCAUUGUUUAAUACUUGGCUAUAGAAGCAUGGCAUUUCUAAGCUUCCGUGUGAUGAGCAUCUUGGAGAUGGUCACAGUCAACCUGAGAUGGGUAAAAAUUGUUAGAGGAGGAAGAAAAUCCCUGCAGGGAAUAAUUUGAUGUUAGUUGGCCAUAUGAAAUGAUCAAGCAUUGUGUUUGGGAGGUUUUAUUUUCUUAUGUUUUAAAAUUGAAUUGGUAAAUGCUUUAUAGACAUAUUUUUAUCCAGGUGCCACUCCAAUGUGUAUGUAAUAAAAAUUAUUUAUAUUGAAAGUGGAAAAUAAUUUUUCAGCAUUUUACUGUGAGUAUAGAUUUAUUAGGGAUGACAAAGAAGCCCUGGUUAGCAGUUUCCCUUGUAAAGUUGUCCUUGACUGAUUUAUAACAGAGUAGCUAUAGUCUUCCCUCACCCCCAUCCCCCCCUCCAGCAAAAAGAAUUGUUUCUAACCAGAUGUGUCACUUGAAACUUCUUAGCAACAAAAUAACCAGGGGAGUUCCUCCAAAGGUGUUUGGCUUUUGAAUUUUUCCUUGAGGUCAGGGGUUAAGAAUGCCUCCCCCAAAACUAUCAGCACAAAACAGGGUAUCAAUUUUUUUAACUCUGAUAUUUCUGUUAGAGUUGAAUAUUAAAUAAGGAACUAUAAUGAAGGAAAUACAUUUCUAAUAAAAUUCCCUACAUUCUAGAAACGUCCCUGUUUUGAUCUUUUUUUUUUAACCAAAAACUUUCUGUGCUUUAUGUGUAAAGGAAGAAAAUGUACUGGGUUACAAUGCAUUUUAUGAACACCAUGUACAUAUAUUAGCUGCUUUGUGUUCAGGAUGGUAGCGAUUGCUUUGUAUAUUGAAGUGAUCCUUGUGAAUUUGUGAUAUAUUGUCAUAAAGUGCUUUUUCUUACUGUAAUCUUUGUGGUAUCAACUGUCAUAAUGCCCUUUUUACACAAACAUUUAUGUGCAGUCACAUAAACAUUGCUUUUAAAAACA